UCUUCGAUGGUCUAGUGGUCAUGAUUUCCGCUUGUCAACUUCUUAAGAAUUUGCAAGCGCGGGAGACCGGGGUUCGAUUCCCCGUCGGAGAG